CCCAUCCGGUAGGUGGGGGCGCGGCGCUCCCGAGCCGGUGUGACCGGGAGCGGGGGCGGCUCGCUGGCAGAGCGCUGCGCGCUCCCCAGCCGGUUGGCAUCGCAGGCGACGCUGGCUGUGGCGCGGUGUCCGGCCCCGGUGUGUGAAGCGGCGCUGACGCACCUCAGGCGUACCGGGGAGGAUGCCCAGCUGCCGGGCUUCUCGGGGGUGCCCAGGCACAGGAAGUACCGGCUCAGUACUCAAACCCCGCCUCUCCGCCCGGCUGCCGGCUCCCGGCUCAGGUACACACCCAGCCCGGCUGGCAGGCAGCCGGGGCAACGAGGUCACUGUGCUGACAAGAGGCACUACUUCACACUCUGCACCAGACUGAAGACGGAUGAUGUUUCCUGGGGAAGACGGGCAAGGACCAACUGUGGGGAGGGAAAAGCAAAGUGUCUAACCAUACGUGGAAGUGGAAGACUGUCCCUGUGGGAGGGACCUCACUCUCGAGCAGCAGAGGACUGUGAAGAGGAAGGAGCAACACAAUCUCCAUCCACCUGUGCUGCUGGGAGACAGGAGGUAGAGAAUUUGUGCAGGAAGUCAAGCACAGGAAGAAGGGAGGUGUGGGGGGAAGGUGUUUUAUGAUUUGUUCUUAAUUCUCAUUAUUUCUGAUUUUAUUGGCAGUAGAUUCAAAUAAUUUCCCAAAACCACAUCUGUUUUGACUGCAUGUGAGUAACUGCUGAGUGAUCUUCCUGUCCUUAUCUUGAUGCACGAGUCAAGAUGCAAAUCCAUUACAUUUUUUCCCCUCUCCUGUUGAGGAGGGGCAAAUAAUAGAGCAGUUUUGGUCCAAGGACAGCCCACCACAGCCAUUCCAUGCAUUAGUUUAUCUCUUGCAAUUGUACCCUUUUCAAAGGGAAAUAAAAACAAAAAUACAGUAGAAAGUCAGACAGUCCAUCACAGCAUAUGAGCAAAUGCAAGACGAAGAAUUUUUAGUGCAAAAUAAUAGUACAGAAUUAUAUUUGGAAGCACUUUGUUUUAAACACAGCUAAACACAGCUGUCAUCUGUGAUAACAUCUUUUUCUUAUACAUAGGUUUAGGACUUUUACAAUAAAGUACUACAUUUCAAUCACUGACCAGUUCAGCUGUCACAUAUCAAAUAAUAAAAUCCAUCCUUUCCUUUC